UACGAAGGGGGGCUAGCGUUGUUCGGAAUUACUGGGCGUAAAGCGCACGUAGGCGGAUAUUUAAGUCAGGGGUGAAAUCCCAGAGCUCAACUCUGGAACUGCCUUUGAUACUGGGUAUCUUGAGUAUGGAAGAGGUAAGUGGAAUUGCGAGUGUAGAGGUGAAAUUCGUAGAUAUUGGAAGAACACCAGUGGCGAAGGCGACUAACUGGACAAGUACUGACGCUGAGGUACGAAAAGCGUGGGG
rnacentral:rRNA from 1 species